rnacentral:lncRNA from 1 species
CGAUGGUAGUUUGAAGCAGAUUAGGCGGCCGCAAGCGUCUCUGGUGCCAAGGCUGUUGAGUAGAGGAUCUGGCCAUGUGGCAAUUCAUUUUCUAUUCUCCAUCCUUUAAGGUCAUAACAGAAGAAAUAACUAUGCAAUUGACUUGAUCACUAUUGUUUUAUCUAGAAAAAAAUAUGUUUUGUACGCAUGUAUUGAUGAGUACUCCUCUUGACUCGAUUGUGUUGCAAGGAGUGAAAGAAUCCAGUUGGGUGGUCUGCAGCUCUGAUCACCUCCAGCAUCACCACAUAAUCAAAGUUCCAAACAGUAGUGCUGCACUGCUACCUCCAGCCAGCAUUUCACUUUGAUGUUUAUAGGUGGCUUAACAUGAUCAUUUGAUGUGUAUCUUAUGUAGAAGAUUUGAAUGAUGUACGUGUUUAUUUUAGAAAACAUUUCUUAAUGACGCCUUGCAUAUAUACAAGACAGAUAUUCAUGUACAUUAGCUUUAGUUUUGUUUGUUAACUAGAAACUGUGGUUACCUUUUUUUAACCGAAAUCACUAAAGCAUGGGAUGCAUUUGGGGUUUCCAGAUAGCUAAUAUUAGGAGCACACAAGACUUAGACUACUGCUAUGUAACUAAAGGAAAUCAGAACAUUCACCAAUAUCCUCUGUAUAUUUUCUAGCCUUGAAUUCCUGACUUUUUCAUACAAAUUAUAAUUUGGAAACUUUAUUUAUAGGAAUGAUAAAUAGUAUGUACAAAUGCCUUUACUAAAAUUAAGCUUACAUUAGCCACAUGGAAGCCAACACAAUAUCACAUGUAAUAUUUCUUAGUUAGUCAAAAGUAUGCUUCUUUUAAAAUUUAUGGUUCUAAUAUUUUUUUCUCACAUAAAUAUGUUCCAGUUAUAUAUGGUAAACUAAAGCUGUUUAGCCCAUGCAGACGCACGGGUUAACGACUAGUCUAACUAACUCGGGGAUAAAUUCAUUGAUCCAGAUGUAAAAUUGCCAAGAUAGUAACUAGUACACAUAGAACAGGAGGAAUAUAGGUUGCUCUUCUUUUAUUAAGUACGAAUGGAUCUUGAUGAAGCUUUACUUCUUUAGCACUGUUCUAGAGAUGCAUGAGACACCUGUAACCUUUUUCCCUUGGUUUUGAAGCUACACGCACCAACUCGAUGUAUGGUGACUCCAUGGAGCAAGUCAAGUUCGUGGAGCAAGUCAUGGACGAUGCCAUGGAAGGUAUACUCUCUCCCUCUCCCUACCAUGGUACUGCUCAUUGUGUCCACGACCAUUGAGCCAUGCUAGGUUCUAUGCUGCUGUCCAUGAAAAUUUAUAGCAUUUGGGGCUGUAGGUUUCAGUGGAUUUAUUUAGCAAUAAAUAAUUCUGUUAGUUCACAGAAAACAAUUUGACUGUAGCUGUACAGAAUUAGCAAUGGAUCUCUAGGCUGGUGAUGACUAUGUAAAUUUGUUUCAGUGGAUAUGGGGCUGUAGUUUUGUUCCAAAGCGUGGUGAGCACCUUUAGGGUUUUUUUCAUGUUGGAUGACUGAAACCAACUAGAGCUAAAUGUUUUGGUUCAGUUUUAGAUGACAAACCGUUUUGGUUCAGUUUGCUAACUAAAUGGAGAAGAGAAAAGAAGUGGUACUAUCACUCACAUUGCCCUUGAAUGCACAUCAACACUUAGGCUACUCUCCAUAUAAUUUUAUUAAGCCAUGUUUUUCUGCAGGCUGUGUCAUAUAUUGUGGCGUCUUGAUUAAUCAUCAAUGACAACUAACACUCAUGUCGGUCUCUUUUCACAAUCACAAUAGGGACGUAGCUCUUGCUAUAGUUCUAAGUUGUGAUCCAAAAUUUAAGCUUGAUGAUGCUAAAAAUUACAAAUGAAUUCUUGGUAGUGCAUGUCGAUAUGGCACUUGUGAAAACUGAAGAUUUGGUAUGGAGUCGCAAAAGGUGAAAUACUCUUGAUAAUACAGAAAAAAAAGAAUACAUGACCUUCAACCUUCGUACAUGCCUGAUAUCCUGCUGCCUCUAUUACUACAUUCAUCAUGUCAAUGCAUUGUGUAUUAACAGUUCAUUUUGUUAUUUUCUUUAUAGAUUCAAAAUAUAUAUGGAUGAUUAUAAUGGUGCGUGGCAAGUAUAUUGCAAUGAUGAUGAUGUUCCGGUUCAUGAUGAUGAUGAUGUUCCGGUUCAUGAUGAUAAUGAUGGAUGCUAUCAGUUUUAGUUAAGUUGUAGGGAUGAUGUUCCUGUCUGAUGAUGUUCCCCAGUUAAGUUAGUUUAAGUUGUAGGGAUGUUGAAGGAUGCUUUCUAUUUAAGUUUCGCUGUCAAGAAAAUAUUUAGAUUAUGCAUCAAAUUUGGAUGAUGUUUCCCCUGCAAUAUCAACCAUUGUAAUCCAACAACUUUAUCCAAUAUAUGAUUUCUUUCUCUAAUGAGUAUAUUCUUUUUUUUCCACACUUCAUAUACAUAAUUACCACUGUUAUGUUGAGCAUUAAUUUAAUUGUUGGCAAUAUUAUUUACAUUAUAUAUGUAACAACACAUGAAGCGUUGAAAAAUCCUAGUUGCCAGAAAUGAGAUUUGGAUUCUUGUACAUUAAGCA